rnacentral:misc_RNA from 1 species
AAGUCGUAACAAGGUUUCCGUAGGUGAACCUGCGGAAGGAUCAUUAAUGAAUUAAAUGUGGGAGUUGGUUGCAGCUGGCACUCUAAUUAAUUUUGGGGAGCAUGUGCACGCCUUCUCCUUUCAUCCACACACACCUGUGCACUUGUGAGGCAGCUUGGGGAAAUAGGACUCUAAUUAAUUUUAUUGGACUUGCUCUCCUCUGUCUACUUAAACCACAUAAACUCUAAUUAAUUUAAAACGAAUGUAAUUGAUGUAACGCAUCUAAUACUAAGUUUCAACAACGGAUCUCUUGGCUCUC